rnacentral:tRNA from 1 species
UCCCUGGUGGCUCAGAUGGUAAAGAAUCCGCCUACAAGGCGGGAGACCCAGGUUCAAUUCCUGGGUUGGGAA